rnacentral:sRNA from 1 species
AGGUCAACCAGAAUCAAGAUGUCUGGGACUGAGGAAGCAAUUCUUGGAGGACGUGACAGCCAUCCUGCUGCUGGCGGCGGCUCGGUGUUAUGCUUUGGACAGUGCCAGUACACAGCAGAAGAGUACCAGGCCAUCCAGAAGGCCCUGAGGCAGAGGCUGGGCCCAGAAUACAUAAGUAGCCGCAUGGCUGGCGGAGGCCAGAAGGUGUGCUACAUUGAGGGUCAUCGGGUAAUUAAUCUGGCCAAUGAGAUGUUUGGUUACAAUGGCUGGGCACACUCCAUCACGCAGCAGAAUGUGGGUGAGUAUGCUCUCCAGCAGUGGGGACUUCUGCACUGUCCAGCUCCUGCUGAAAGUCUGCUGUGGGUGAGGAGGUAAGGUAGGUGGACUCAGCUGCCAGCAGGAGGAAUGGUUGUGGCCCAGCGGUCAGUGUCCUCUUCAACUUGCUCUCUUUCCCACUCCUAGAUUUUGUUGACCUCAACAAUGGCAAGUUCUACGUGGGAGUCUGUGCAUUUGUGAGGGUCCAGCUGAAGGAUGGUUCAUAUCAUGAAGAUGUUGGUUAUGGUGUUAGUGAGGGCCUCAAGUCCAAGGCUUUAUCUUUGGAGAAGGCAAGGAAGGAGGCGGUGACAGACGGGCUGAAGCGAGCCCUCAGGCUUCCCUUGCUGGGAGUAAGUGGUAGAAUCCUGUACUCUCUCUUCUCCGUGCACUCAGUCAUGUGUGCCGGAGGCCUUCCCACUCCUACUGCGAGUGCACAGACAGCACCCUCCUCUCCGUGCUCCUCAGCAGUCCUCCGCUACGCACAGGAGUUUUGGGAAUGCACUUGGAAACUGUAUUCUGGACAAAGACUACCUGAGAUCACUAAAUAAGCUUCCAUGCCAGUUGCCUCUUGAAGUGGAUUUAACUAAAGCGAAGAGACAAGAUUUUGAACCGUCUGUGGAAGAGGCAAGAUACAACAGCUGCCGACCGAACAUGGCCCUGGGACACCCACAACUACAGGAGGCGACCUCCCCUUCCAGACCAAGCCAUGCUGUGAUACAGGCGGACAAGGACUGCAGCUCCCGAAGCCUGACCUCAUCCGCCGUGGAGAGCGAGGCCACGCACCAGCGGAAGCUCCGGCAGAAGCAGCUGCAGCAGCAGUUCCGGGAGCGGAUGGAGAAGCAGCACGUUCGAGUCUCCACGCCGUCAGCUGAGAAGAGUGAGGCAGCGCCUCCGGCCCCUCCUCUGACGCACAGCACUCCUGUAACCGUCUCAGAACCACUCCCGGAGAAAGACUUCCUUGCAGGAGUGACUCAAGAAUUAAUCAAGACUCUUGAAGACAACUCUGAAAAGUGGGCUGUGGCUCCCGAUGCAGGGGAUGGUGUGGUCAGGCCCUCGUCUACAGCAGACCCAGCCCAGGCCUCUGACACACUAGCCUUGAACAACCAGAUGGUGACCCAGAACAGGACUCCACACAGCCUUUGCCACCAGAAACCACAAGCAAAAUCUGGAUCUUGGGACCUCCAAACUUAUAGCGCCGACCAACGCACAACAGGAAACUGGGAAUCUCAUAGGAAGAGCCAGGACAUGAAGAAAAGGAAAUAUGAUCCAUCUUAACUGAGGCUCAGGCCACAUGAUUGGACUCUGUCACAAAGGGACUUUGGAAAACUACUUUUUGGUCAUGAAAUUGUUCAUCGCUCCUGGAGAAUGAACGUCAUUGCGAUUUAUCUUGCUUCAUUCUGAACCUUAUCAAGAGGAUCUGACUGAGAGCCCACUGCAGUUAGAGCUGAGCACUUUUGAAAAGCUUGUCCAUCACUCUAGUAGGGAGAGGCUCUGGACAGAUGAAUACCUUUUCUUCGGCUUGUGAGGCUUCCCACUAUUUAUUACUGAACUAUUAUGUUAAUAAAGAUGGACAUUUUAGGAAUCACCAAUGGCUCCUUGCCCUCGAGCAAUAUAGGCCAGACUUGGUCCUAAGCACCUGCCUCAGCAAUUGUCUACAUUCGGCUGUUUUGCAUAACGUCUGCCUUCUUUCCUUUACGGUCCAUGCCUUUAAUGUUGUCCACAUUAAGCACUGUGGAUCACGACAGGAAAAAGGUUGGAGCAGUGCUUUUCACUACUUUGUAUCAAUCCAGGCUACAAUCUUCAUUUAAUAUAAAUAAUUUAUGGAUUUAUGACAUUACAAUCCUGCAUUGUUUCAAGAUGGACAUUUUUUCCUAAGGAAGGAAAUAAUCAAGACCACGAAAAAAGCUGUUUUUUUUUUUUUUUUUUUGAGACGGGGUCUGGCUGUGUUGCCCUGACUGGAGUUCAGUGGUGCAAACACAGCUCUCUCCACAACCUCCUGGGCUCAAGUGAUACUCCCACCUCUGCCUUACAAAAUACAGGGAUUACUGGUGUGAGCCACUGUGUCUGUCUGGCCAGAAAAGGCAUUUUUGAGAAAGCAAAUCGUAUACCUUAUUAACAAAAUAGAAUAUAUAUAUAUUGCUUAUCUGAAAUGCUCGAAACCAGAAUUGUUUUGCAUUUUUUGAAUAUUUAUAUACACAUAAUGAGACCUUGGGGAUGGGACCCAAGUCUGAACGUGGAAUUCACCUGUGUUUCGUGUAUAUGCCUCAUACACAUAAUUUUGUGCAUGAAACAAAGUUUUUGUAUAAGAAGAUACACUGCAGCUGAAGGGGGCUGGGCCUUUUUUUCUCUUAGGGUCGCUGCAUAAACUGUUGUAUGCCUGGUGCUUUGCGACUUGUCACACGAGGUCACGUGUGGAAUUUUCCACUUCUGGCAUCACAUCAGUGCUCAGAAAUUUUCUGAUCUCAGAGCAUUUCUUCAAUUAGGGAUGCUCAAACGCAACUG